ensembl:lncRNA
UCGUUUGGCCUUGUAGAUCCUGAUCCAUAUGGAAUAGGGCUCUGUGUGUCAUUUGUUUGGCCAUGUUCCGAUUUUCUUUCACAGAUUGAAAAAAUGGGGGGGAAAACACUCAUAUCUGAAGGUUUUAGUAGAAUACAUACAUGAUGCUUUAUGGCCAUAAUCAGCAGACUCCUUUCUGCAUGUAGCUUAAUUCCAGUAUAAGCCUUAAUCCAUAUGUUUCUUUCUGCUGCACACAUUAAUUUGAUUGAUCCAUUAUAUGAACUACUUUGUUGUUAAUAUUUAAAAGGUUAUUGCCAGAAGAUUGUGUCAUCAACAUCAUCGCUACAGCAACCACCACCUCUGUUUAUGUCCUAUAGCAAUACAUUUAGUUUACUUAGAACAUUUAUCUUUGAUUCUUGUAAUGGCACCACCACUUACCAGUGGACUUUCCAUCUGCAAAUCAAAAAAUGGCUUUAAAUUAAAGAGUAUGGUUUUAUUUACAACAUGAACAUAAGUUAUUCCAUUUUAGAGAAGAGUCUUCCAACAAUAUCAGGUCAGAUUUAAAUCACAGGCAUGCCUACAAGCCAAGAAAUCCAUUUCAGAUAUAUUAAAUGUGGUUCAAAUCAAGUUUCUAGACAGACUGGCAGACGAGUCAGGCAGGCAGGCAGACAAGGAGUCAGGCAGGCAGACAAGGAGUCAGGCAGGGAGUCAGGCAGGCAAGGAGGCAGGCAGGCAGGGAAGGAGGCAGGCAGGCAGGCAGGGAAGGAGGCAGGCAGGCAAGGAGGCAGGCAGGCAGGCAGGGAAGGAGGCAGGCAGGCAGGGAAGGAGGCAGGCAGGCAGGCAGGGAAGGAGGCAGGCAGGCAGGGAAGGAGGCAGGCAGG